rnacentral:rRNA from 1 species
UGGGGAAUCUUCCGCAAUGGACGAAAGUCUGACGGAGCAACGCCGCGUGAGUGAUGACGGCCUUCGGGUUGUAAAGCUCUGUUAAUCGGGACGAAUGGUUCUUGUGCGAAUAGUGCAAGGAUUUGACGGUACCGGAAUAGAAAGCCACGGCUAACUACGUGCCAGCAGCCGCGGUAAUACGUAGGUGGCAAGCGUUGUCCGGAAUUAUUGGGCGUAAAGCGCGCGCAGGCGGAUUGGUCAGUCUGUCUUAAAAGUUCGGGGCUUAACCCCGUGAUGGGAUGGAAACUGCCAAUCUAGAGUAUCGGAAAGGAAAGUGGAAUUCCUAGUGUAGCGGUGAAAUGCGUAGAUAUUAGGAAGAACACCAGUGGCGAAGGCGACUUUCUGGACGAAAACUGACGCUGAGGCGCGAAAGCCAGGGGAGCGAACGGG